rnacentral:lncRNA from 1 species
AGCAAGUUGUUUCACUGUGCUUGGCUGCCCAGGCACUCAGAGGCUGCUGCAGCCAUGGUCCCUGGAGGUGUGGCUACUGCUUAAGAUGGAGGCAGACGCUAGUGUCAUCCAUGUGAUGCUGGUUUUGCAGAAAUGCAGGAUGCUGGAGGUAGGGGGUCAGGGACGAUUCCACUGAGAUUUCAAAGAAAGGCCUCAGAGGCAUAAGCAGCCUCUAUUGACGUCUUGCUCCUGCAUCAAGGCCACUGUGAGCCAUCAACUCUGCUCAGCUCCAUGUGGUCCUCACAGCAGGACCUAGCUCACCAGAGGCCACAUCUGCAGACUAGUAACAAAUGCACCCCACAUACACACACUACAAGCUGACAGGUGCUAUGCAGAGCACCUCCCAGGGUCUUGCAGGAAGGCCUCUGCUGGGCUCAGCCAUGAUGGGCAGGCACACAGCCAGGAAGUCCCUGCUUCCUAGGAAGGUCAAAUGGGAACAAAGGCUGCAGGCGAGUCACCCAUGAGCAGGGGCCAGUUUCCAAAAUGAAGCCCCAGGAAGGAAAUUCAGCAGGCUAAGGACUGCUCUGUACCCCGAUGAGACCUCAGGAACACAAAGUCCCAGGGCCUGAGGAGUUGAACAGGCUCACCCGGAGGCCUGGCGGGGGAAACAGCAACAAGCUCAGAGCUUCUCAGCGGAUGCAGGAAGCAGCUUGACAGGUCCCGCCUCUUCUGAAAAUGCUGCACAGCCCGGAAGAGCAGGACCUGCUCCUGAACCAGGGGUCCACACUGAAAAGCCAACGCCUGGCCUAACUGGCAGAAGGCUUGGGUGAGCAGCUGGGGGAGGGGGGGCAGUGUGUGCAUGUGUGCACGCCCACGGCCAUCCCAGGGAGGGCUGGUGGCACACACCUGGCAGUGUCCAGCUUAACUAUUUGGUGGCUGUGCUUUUUGGCAGGUGUUUCUCCAAAGACUCUGGAAAAUCCUGAGUGACUUCUCCAAGAUCAAGGCCUGAUGCAGCGAGGUGGGACCCAGCCAAGGGAAAGAGGGGAGUAACGGGGGAAGGGCUGCCCAGCCCGGUGCGGUCAGCCUGUGGGGAGCAGGGCCCCAGGGCGGGGAGCCCUGCGGAUAGUCCACCAUCUCUGCGAGCUGUGCUCCAGGUGCCCACCCCGGCUGGCUGUUUUCCCAUGCCAAGGCUCUGGACACGGCAAAUCUCGUCACAUAGUAGUGACACUGACAGUAAUAAGUGGCACGUCAGAGAUGGACGAGGUGACCUACCUGUGGGUGCUGAGGAGGCAAGCCCCUCCCCAGACAUCCUGACCGGGACAGGCGAGUCAUCCAGACUGCCUGCCUGCUGCCCAGGCCUCCUACAUACUCCACCCUGAGUUUAACCCCAGCCUGCGUCAAGGGCCAAGUUGCUACAAGUAAACCUUCAGCUCUGCAGAGACCCCCAUCCAGGCCCAGAUGUGCGGGGUCCCAGGAGGGGGCAGUGAAGAGUGGGCAGGACCGCCGGCAGCCCUGAAAGGCCUCUGCCUCCAGGAUCUCAGGAGGCUCUUGAGAGGAGACACAGUGAUCCAUGCAGCCAGGAGGGGUGGACAGGUCUGCAGUGGGGCAGGGGAAUGGUCUCUGUAGGGGCCCAGAGGUGGCAAAGCAGACAGGAGUUCCCAGGAGCUGGAGGGAGCCCAGUGAGACUGCUGCUGAUGAGCCACGUGCUCAGGGCCAGGUACUGGAGGCUGGGGUGGGCAGAGGCCCUGAGCCAAGCCACGGGUGGAUGGGGCCUUCUGGAAAGCUGCAGGCCACCUGAAGGCGUAGGCUGGCCAGUGGGCUGCACCCAGGCCCCCAAUUCCACCCAGAACCGCCUGAGCAGGCCAGCCUUUUACCUGUCCUGGAGGGCCAUCCCUGCUCCCCUCCUGGGGAUGGCUGAGUGCCUCCAGGCUCUUGUGGAAGGCAGCCAAGGCCACAGGUAUUCAGAUCUCAGCUUUCGAGAGCUUCAGAGUCCCAGACCCCGCAGAUGAGAAGCCCCGAGCUGCUCUCACAACCUGAGGGGUCUCACACUGGACCCCGCCCCCAGGCAAGGGAGUGGUGGGCUGUGUCAUGUGGUCACUGCCCAGCCCUGCCAUCUGGCAGGACUGGGUGCCUCUGUACUCAGCACCCGCCCAUCCGACAGAGGUCCUUGACUCCUCGCUGAGCCCUGGCGAGCAGGAACAUGGCCGGGCACCAUCUGAGGCUGAACACUGGGGAUUCAGGUGCCAAGCCACCCUCCGAGUACAGGACAGAUAGGCCCUGGAGCUCGAUCCUGUCCCCACACAGGUGGCAAACCAGCAACCAGGGGCCCUCACAGUGGCCUCAGUAUGGCCGCCCAACCUUACCCCCUAAACCCCGGGAGGACAGAGGGUGAGGGCCCCUGGCUGUGUCAGGGCCAGCAUGCAGCCACAUCACAGCUGGAGCCCAGGCCCCUGAGCCCAGGCCCUCAGGCUCACGGCCCUGGGGCAGCCUCUCCCCAGAGCCUGGCUUCCAGCCAAGCUCCCACCCCCUCCAGGACAGAUCAAUGGCUGGACCUAGCCUGUGCCCACAGAGGGUGUGGCACUCCAGGUUGGUCUAGUGCUGAGAGGAGGGGCCGGAGCCCCAUGCGUAGGUGGGGAGCCCAGUUGACCCGAGAGGGAGGUCAGG